UACGUAGGGGCCUAGCGUUGUCCGGAAUUAUUGGGCGUAAAGAGCUCGUAGGCGGUUCGGCAAGUCGGAUGUGAAAUCUCCACGCUUAACGUGGAGGGGCCAUUCGAAACUGCUGUGACUCGAGUCCGGUAGGGGAGUGUGGAAUUCCCGGUGUAGCGGUAGAAUGCGUAGAGAGUCGGGAGGACACCAGAGGCGAAGGCGGCGACCUGGACAAGUACUGACACUCAACUACGAAAGCGUGGGGAGCAAACAGG
rnacentral:rRNA from 1 species